rnacentral:rRNA from 1 species
ACUCCUACGGGAGGCAGCAGUAGGGAAUCUUCCACAAUGGACGAAAGUCUGAUGGAGCAACGCCGCGUGAGUGAAGAAGGGUUUCGGCUCGUAAAAACUCUGUUGUUAAAGAAGAACAUAUCUGAGAGUAACUGUUCAGGUAUUGACGGUAUUUAACCAGAAAGCCACGGCUAACUACGUGCCAGCAGCCGCGGUAAUACGUAGGUGGCAAGCGUUGUCCGGAUUUAUUGGGGCGUAAAGCGAGCGCAGGCGGUUUUUAAGUCUGAUGUGAAAGCCUUCGGCUCAACCGAAGAAGUGCAUCGGAAACUGGGAAACUUGAGUGCAGAAGAGGACAGUGGAACUCCAUGUGUAGCGGUGAAAUGCGUAGAUAUAUGGAAGAACACCAGUGGCGAAGGCGGCUGUCUGGUCUGUAACUGACGCUGAGGCUCGAAAGUAUGGGUAGCAAACAGGAUUAGAUACCCUGGUAGGAUAGCG